UACGUAGGGGGCUAGCGUUGUCCGGAAUCAUUGGGCGUAAAGAGCGUGUAGGCGGUCCGGUAAGUCCGUUGUGAAAGUCAGGGGCUCAACCCUUGAAUGCCGGCGGAUACUGUCGGGCUAGAGUCCGGAAGAGGCAAGUGGAAUUCCCGGUGUAGCGGUGAAAUGCGCAGAUAUCGGGAGGAACACCUAUGGCGAAGGCAGCUUGCUGGGACGGUACUGACGCUGAGACGCGAAAAGCGUGGGGGAGCAAACAGG
rnacentral:rRNA from 1 species